rfam:Dipodomys ordii contig_94115, whole genome shotgun sequence.
GGUAGCUCAGUGGUAGAGUGCUUGCCUUGCAAGCACGAGGCCUGGGUUCGAUUCCUCAGUACCA